rnacentral:rRNA from 1 species
UGGGGAAUAUUGGGCAAUGGGCGCAAGCCUGACCCAGCGACGCCGCGUGGGUGAUGAAGGCCUUCGGGUUGUAAAGCCCUGUCAUGUGGAAAGAACAGUCCCGUGGUGAAUAUCCACGGGAUUUGACGGUACCACAGGAGGAAGCACCGGCUAACUCCGUGCCAGCAGCCGCGGUAAUACGGAGGGUGCAAGCGUUGUUCGGAAUUAUUGGGCGUAAAGGGCGCGUAGGUGGUUGUGAAAGUCAGAUGUGAAAUACUUCGGCUCAACUGAAGAACUGCAUCUGAAACUUCAUAACUCGAGUACAGGAGAGGGAGACGGAAUUCCCGGUGUAGCGGUGAAAUGCGUAGAUAUCAGGAGGAACACCUGCGGUGUAGACGGCUUCCUGGACCAUGACUGACACUGAGGCACGAAAGCGUGGGUAGCAAACA